GAUGAACGCUGGCGGCGUGCUUAACACAUGCAAGUCGAACGGAAAGGCUCCUGCUUGCAGGGGUACUCGAGUGGCGAACGGGUGAGUAACACGUGGGUGAUCUGCCCUGCACUUCGGGAUAAGCCUGGGAAACUGGGUCUAAUACCGGAUAGGACGAUGGUUUGGAUGCCAUUGUGGAAAGUUUUUCGGUGUGGGAUGAGCUCGCGGCCUAUCAGCUUGUUGGUGGGGUAAUGGCCUACCACGGCGUCGACGGGUCGCCGGCCUGAGAGGGUGUACGGCCACAUUGGGACUGAGAUACGGCCCAGACUCCUACGGGAGGCAGCAGUGGGGAAUAUUGCACAAUGGGCGCAAGCCUGAUGCAGCGACGCCGCGUGGGGGAUGACGGCCUUCGGGUUGUAAACUCCUUUCGCUAGGGACGAAGCGCAAGUGACGGUACCUGGAGAAGAAGCACCGGCUAACUACGUG
rnacentral:rRNA from 1 species